CGGCGGACGGGUGAGUAAUGCCUAGGAAUCUGCCUGGUAGUGGGGGACAACGUUUCGAAAGGAACGCUAAUACCGCAUACGUCCUACGGGAGAAAGCAGGGGACCUUCGGUCCUUGCGCUAUCAGAUGAGCCUAGGUCGGAUUAGCUAGUUGGUGAGGUAAUGGCUCACCAAGGCGACGAUCCGUAACUGGUCUGAGAGGAUGAUCAGUCACACUGGAACUGAGACACGGUCCAGACUCCUACGGGAGGCAGCAGCC
rnacentral:rRNA from 1 species